rnacentral:rRNA from 1 species
AGCAAUACGUCAGUGGCAGACGGGUGAGUAACACGUGGGAACCUUCCUAGGGGUACGGAACAACUCAGGGAAACUCGAGCUAAUACCGUAUACGUCCGUGAGGAGAAAGAUUUAUCGCCCUUAGACGGGCCCGCGUCGGAUUAGGUAGUUGGUGGGGUAACGGCCUACCAAGCCUACGAUCCGUAGCUGAUCUGAGAGGAUGAUCAGCCACACUGGGACUGAGACACGGCCCAGACUCCUACGGGAGGCAGCAGUGGGGAAUCUUGGACAAUGGGCGCAAGCCUGACCCAGCCAUGCCGCGUGAGUGAAGAAGGCCUUAGGG